AGCAGUGCCUGCAGCAGGAGGGAGCUGUGUCCUGCUGAGGACUCUGCCUAUGGGUUUAGUGGAUUUCAGUUGCAUGCCAUGACAGAUUAUGCUGUGGAUUAUCUUCAGAUACGUGUAGGAGAGGCAUUUCAAGGUUUGCUAUCAGCAACCCCAGCUUACAGAGCUACGACCUGAUCCUGGGCCUGAUCACUCCUUGUAGAAAGACUUCACCUUCUCCAUGCCUUCAUUCUCCAUGAAGUCCUGCAAAAUGGAGAAGAAAGUCAGAGAAAAAGCAAGUGUAAUGCUUUUUGGGGAUUCCAAAAAUGGACAUUAUAUCAACCGAGGAAAUGAUUUCCUUAUUUUUCCAUCCAAGUAGAAGCCCAGUCUUCACACCUGUGACUAAGGAAGGAAGCAUUCUUUGCCAAGAAUGAUGAUACCAUUGUUUCUGAAAGAGGUGUGGACAAAUCAGAGCACAGCAAUUUAAGAGGUGUGGGAAUCACAAAGGCAAUUUCAGUUCCACUAGUCUGCUUUUUAUUUCUGGCAAUGCUCUUUUUCUAUUCUUCUAACAAUUAGAAAAAUAAGAAGGCUGCUUUUGUCUGCUGAAGAAAAACUUAGAAGGACCAUGAUCAGCUUUGAGCAUCAAUCCAUGUCUUCUUCGUAUCACAAAUAAAAGGAUUUUCAUAAAUUGUUCUCACUGUUUUUUUUGUCUUUGCAAAUAUUAUUCACCAUUUUUGGUAGGCAUCAUGACAGAAGGAGUCAUCAUGAAGAGGAGUAUUUGAUAGCUGGAGAGAUGUAAUGGGAAGCAUCACAGCAACUCUGGAAGAAUGGAAAAAUGUAUCUUGGCCAUCACCAGCAGAGAAAAGAGGACAGACAGGACAUAAACAAAGGCAAGAACAGAAAAACAGCAGCAACGUCAUACAAAGCAUGGCCCAUAAAUCCAAUGAUCUUUGAUUUAGUAAAGAUUCUUAAAGAAGAGAGAACUAAAUGUGAUAUGAACUAGGAGUGUGUCCUGAUUUCAGCUGGGAUGGAGUUGAUUUUCUUCAGAGUGGCUGACAUGAUGCUGUGUUCCGGCCUUAGGAAGGAAACAAGGUUCAUAACAAACCAAUGUUUUAGUUGUUGCUGAGCAGCGUUGCACAGAGCCAAGGAUGUUUCAGCUCCUUGUGCUGUCCUGCCAGUGAAGGGGUCAGGGGGCACAAGGAGCUGGAAGAAGACAUAAUCAGGAUGGCUGACCUAAACUGGCCAAAGGGAUAUUCCAUACCACAGGACAUUUUGUUAUCUAAAAAACUGGGUGAGUUGGCUGUGGGGAACAGACAUUGCCUGGGGACUGUCUGGGCAUUGGUCAGUGAAUGGUGAGCAAUUGCACUGUACAUCACUUGUUUUAUAAAUAUACAUAUAUAUGUGUGUGUGUAUAAAUAAGUAUACGUAAUUAUCGUUAAUAUUAUUUUCCCUUCCCUUUCUGUCAUACUAAAUAUUUUUUAUCUCAAACCAUGAAUUCUCUUUUGUUGUUUUUUAUCCUCCAUCCCAAAGGGAGAAGGGAGUGAGCAAACAGUUGUGUGGUGCUUAGUUGUCUGCUGAGUUAAAACACAACAGGGUGGGAAAAAUUAUAUUAGUAGGUGUAUUUCUUUUGAACUGUCUGGGAUGCCUCCUAGACAACAGUAGAACAAGGAAUGCAUAAAAGAAAAACAUUCCGAGGCUGGGUAGGCAGUGAGGGCAUGGCUACAAAACAGCUGAAACUGACCACCUACAUGAAUGAAAUACGGAAGUGAUGGGAGUUUAUUCAGGAUGACAAAAGAUCUUCAGAUGUUGCCAGAAAGCGAUUAGUACCCGCCUCAUCCCCCAUGUGCGUUCUUUUUUCUUUUUAAGCUCUGCCACUCCUCGGUGCACUAAGUCAGCACUUAAGCACCAAGAACUGCAGCUUUCCCACAUAGCGUUGCUGUGUUGUAACAUCUGGCAAAUGUCCAGAUUACAAAAAAAAAUAAAACAAAAAAAAUUACUAAACACCUUGAAAAGCUGAUGAAAGUUCUCUACCUCUCUAUCCUGUGGACAGUUUGAAGAUGUGACCUGGAGAAAAUGAAGAAAACUCCAUGAACUGCUCUGACAAGUCCAUGUGUAUGUGCACACGCACACCACUCCCUUUCCUUAGGGCAGCUCUCCAGCUAAUGAAGAUUCUUACUUCUCCGCAGGCAAGGCAUAUAUCCAUUUAUGGGAAGACUAGAAGUCAGGAUGAUGAGUCUGUGUGAGGUCAGCUGGAAUAUAAUAUAAUAUAAAAGGUCCAUUUUGAUGCAAUUCUGCCAUCCUCUCACCCCCCCCAUGAAUGGUUUGUUUACCAGUGCCAUAAAAAUUUGUUCCACAAAGAACUUGAAAAAGUGCUCUCAGCUCAGCAAUUUCAAACUGGAUUUUGAAAGUCAGUUCCCUUUUGUGUGUAGCUCAUGUGCUGUCACCAACAAUAAAUGUCAGAAUUGAGGUAAUUCUGUUCAUAAAAGACCUAGAAAAGGCUUUGGAUUUAUCUCCCCCAGCAUUAUUUCUGCAAAGCCUAUGAAGAAGAGAUUAAUAAAAUAUAUUUUUGCCGAAGAUUUCAGAUGUGAUUUUGACUAUAAGCAUGCUUCAGGCUAAGUUAAAACUGUGUGU